rnacentral:rRNA from 1 species
GAUGAACGCUGGCGGCGUGCCUAAUACAUGCAAGUCGAGCGAACAGACGAGGAGCUUGCUCCUCUGACGUUAGCGGCGGACGGGUGAGUAACACGUGGAUAACCUACCUAUAAGACUGGGAUAACUUCGGGAAACCGGAGCUAAUACCGGAUAAUAUAUUGAACCGCAUGGAUCAAUAGUGAAAGACGGUUUUGCUGUCACAUAGAGAUGGAUCCGCGCCGCAUUAGCUAGUUGGUAAGGUAACGGCUUACCAAGGCAACGAUGCGUAGCCGACCUGAGAGGGUGAUCGGCCACACUGGAACUGAGACACGGUCCAGACUCCUACGGGAGGCAGCAGUAGGGAAUCUUCCGCAAUGGGCGAAAGCCUGACGGAGCAACGCCGCGUGAGUGAUGAAGGUCUUCGGAUCGUAAAACUCUGUUAUUAGGGAAGAACAAAUGUGUAAGUAACUAUGCACGUCUUGACGGUACCUAAUCAGAAAGCCACGGCUAACUACGUG